GGAUGGGGAUCAGCAUAAAAAUAUGAUUCAAUUAAGAAUGACAUGCAAACGUUCGCGCCCCGCCGGAUUAGUGACAUCUGAACGACGGGUACGUGUCAGUGUUCCUCUUCCUCGGUGCUCAAUUGCUCAUGUGCUGAUUUUCCGAGU
ensembl:ncRNA C25F6.20 ncRNA